rnacentral:siRNA from 1 species
CGGAGGUUCGUCGUGUGGUUC